UAGACAACAGUACCGAGGUGUACGUCCUCAUCGUGUGCGGCUUGGCAGCGGUGGUCUUCCUCUGUCUGUUCACCUGUGGAGCAAAAUACUUCCUAAAGAGAGACAUCGCCAGGGCCAGACACGAACAUAAAGAGCAGAGACCAGUAACUGAAGUCUCCACCCUCUGAUUCCAAACAGAAAUGCUGCUCCAGACUGAGACAUGAAGACUUAAAUGAAUAUGAAUGGGUUUUCUUUCCUUGUUUGUCAUACUCUAGACCAGGGGUGUCAAACUCCAGUCCUGGGGGGGCGGAGCCCUG